CCAAACAAGUGUUUUUUUUGCAUUAAGCCCCAUACGCUUAGCUACCAGCGGAGCUAACUGGUAGAUUAAACUCGUGCCGUAUCCGGUUGGCAAAACAGCAAAAACCUCCUUCUUGCAAAGGAAGGAUUGGAGCGCCGUCUUCUGUUCCUCUGUUAGAUAAAAAGCCAAGUCUAACUUGUUCAUUGUAGCGGCCA